CCUACGGGGGGCAGCAGUGAGGAAUAUUGGUCAAUGGGCGCGAGCCUGAACCAGCCAAGUAGCGUGAAGGAUGACUGCCCUACGGGUUGUAAACUUCUUUUAUAAAGGAAUAAAGUGAGGCACGUGUGGCCAGACGAGAGUACCGUACGAAUAAGCAUCGGCUAACUCCGUGCCAGCAGCCGCGGUAAUACGGGGGGUGCGAGCGUUAAUCGGAAUUACUGGGCGUAAAGCGCUCGUAGGCGGUAUGUCAAGUCAAGGGUGAAAUCCCCGCGCUCAACGUGGGAACUGCCUUUGAAACUGGCAAACUGGAGUGUGUGAGAGGAUAGUGGAAUUCCAGGUGUAGGAGUGAAAUCCGUAGAUAUCUGGAGGAACAUCAGUGGCGAAGGCGACUAUCUGGCACAUAACUGACGCUGAGGAGCGAAAGCGUGGGUAGCAAACAGGAUUAGAUACCCGAGUAGUC
rnacentral:rRNA from 1 species